rnacentral:lncRNA from 1 species
UGACAGUAUAAGUUACUAUCUGUGGAUAGGCUAAUUAUUAAAAAAUUGUUCUUUACCUUAGGAAAAUACAAGUAUUUAUAAAUUUAAUAAUGAAUAUCUUUCCCCAAAAGAUACCUUUUUAAAUUUUCUUUUACAUUUGGGUUACUUAAAUAUCAUUUGUCUAAGCUUUCAUUUUUCUUAAAACUACAAGAAUGAUUUUCUUUUUUUUUACCUUUUUUCUUUGUUUCCUUAAUGAAGUCAGCAGUUCUUUGUAUAGACCAACUUAUCUUUUCCUCUGUUUAGAAAAACAUUCUAAACAGAGCUCUGGUAAUCUUUAAUCUAAAUAAAGCAGAGAUAGCCUGGUCUACCCAGAAUUCUAAGACAGGCAGGCCUAUACAAAGAAAAACUGUAAAUGUUGCUUUUAUUUAUUCAAAGGAAGAGAUGAAAUGAGAACUGUUCCAAGCUAAGUGCAUACAGGGUUUGGGCUAAGCCCAGAGCUUUCCUUUCUCUGUCACUAGCUUCUUUCCUCUUUAUAAUCUUGUCUUCCAAGCUGACUGAUUCAAUCUGGCUGUUGUAGGCUUCUGACUGAAUUGCUGUCUGGUUUCAUACUUUAUGAAUAUGUUUUACUCUUCUGGCUCCUUUGCAUUCUCUGGCUAGUUCUCUCUUCACCUCUUCUCUCUGUGUUCACUUGUUCUCUCGGCAACCUGUCCUGCUACAACUGCCAUACACAUAUAACACUCACCACAUACCAUGCCCCACAUUUUUCUCUCACUGCUGUUCAUGAAUCUACUGUUCAUCUCUCUUCAUCUACUGAAGCCUCUCUUCAUGUACUGUUCUUAUGUUCUGCCUCUGACUCAUUCUGUCAAAUCUUCUCUGAUUGGUAAUUUUGUCUGCUCAAUUAGACUUCACUUUCAAACAUGGCUUCUUCCUUCUGCAAGCUAACCUUGCCUUCAUUGUUAAAAAUUCAAAGUGUAUGAAACCAGACAGCAAUUCAGUCAGAAGCCUACAGCAGCCAGAUUGAGUCAGUCAGCUUGGAAGACUAAGGUAUGUCUGUGUUCCAUGCAGAGAGGAUGUACUAAAGGUCUGUACUAAGGGUUUUUUGUAUUCUAGCCACAAUCUAGGGUAUGUCUGCAUUCCAGCCACAUCACAUACUCCUAGAAGGUCUUUGGAUGUGAUCUUUUACCCAAGCAGCCAUGCUACUGAAUUAAAAUUCCUCUGCAAAACCCUGUUUCAAAACAAAAAACAAAAACAAGGGGCUGGAGAGAUGUCUCAGUGGAUAAGAGCACUGACUGCUCUUCUAGAGGACCUGAGUUCAUUUCCCAGCAACUACAUGGUGGCUCACAGUCAUCUGUAAUGGGAUCAGAUGCCCUCUUUCAGUGUGUCUGAAGACAGUUACAAUAUACUCAUAUAAAUAAAAAUAAAUUUUAAAAAAUCUU